UACAGAGGGGGCAAGCGUUAUUCGGAAUUAUUGGGCGUAAAGGGCGCGUAGGCGGCUAGGUAGGUCCGUUGUGAAAACUCGAGGCUCAACCUCGAGACGUCGAUGGAAACCAUCUAGCUAGAGUCCGGAAGAGGAGAGUGGAAUUCCUGGUGUAGCGGUGAAAUGCGCAGAUAUCAGGAAGAACACCCGUGGCGAAGGCGGCUCUCUGGUACGUGACUGACGCUGAGACGCGAAAGCGUGGGGAGCGAACAGG
rnacentral:rRNA from 1 species